GACGAACGCUGGCGGCGUGCUUAACACAUGCAAGUCGAGCGGUAAGGCCCUUCGGGUACGACGAGCGGCGAACGGGUGAGUAACACGUGGGUGACCUGCCCUUAGCUCUGGGAUAAGCCUGGGAAACUGGGUCUAAUACCGGAUAUGACCUCAUGACGCAUGUUGUGGGGUGGAAAGCCUUGUGCGGCUAGGGAUGGGCCCGCGGCCUAUCAGCUUGUU
rnacentral:rRNA from 1 species